CCUUGAGCCGUGGCUUUCGGAGCUAACGCGUUAAGUAGACCGCCUGGGGAGUACGGUCGCAAGAUUAAAACUCAAAUGAAUUGACGGGGGCCCGCACAAGCGGUGGAGCAUGUGGUUUAAUUCGAUGCAACGCGAAGAACCUUACCUACUCUUGACAUCCAGAGAACUUUCCAGAGAUGGAUUGGUGCCUUCGGGAACUCUGAGACAGGUGCUGCAUGGCUGUCGUCAGCUCGUGUUGUGAAAUGUUGGGUUAAGUCCCGCAACGAGCGCAACCCUUAUCCUUGUUUGCCAGCGAGUAAUGUCGGGAACUCCAGGGAGACUGCCGGUGAUAAACCGGAGGAAGGUGGGGACGACGUCAAGUCAUCAUGGCCCUUACGAGUAGGGCUACACACGUGCUACAAUGGCGCAUACAGAGGGCGGCCAACUUGCGAGAGUGAGCGAAUCCCAAAAAGUGCGUCGUAGUCCGGAUUGGAGUCUGCAACUCGACUCCRUGAAGUCGGAAUCGCUAGUAAUCGUGGAUCAGAAUGCCACGGUGAAUACGUUCCCGGGCCUUGUACACACCGCCCGUCACACCAUGGGAGUGGGCUGCAAAAGAAGUAGGUAG
rnacentral:rRNA from 1 species